CUCUGUCUGCGGCUCCGGUCUCUAAUUUCUGCUUGCCGAGAUAGUUUUCCCUCUUCCCAUUUGUAAUUUGCCGGGAAGGUGGGGGGACGUAAUGCUGGAAGAGGAAGAUGCCUGUUUUACCUUAAGAAAUCGUUCGAUGCUGAGCCGAGCUAAACUGAGCCGAGCCGUCGGUGCGAUCCGGGGUUCUUCUCUAUUGUUGAAUAGAUCUAUGGCGUCUGCUCAAGAAAUGUAGAAGUCACUUAUUUUUGCUUCUGUGUUCCCUCGCAUUGUUCAGAUGUAUUCCGAAUAGAAUAAAAGAAACGCUGUAUUUAACGGAGAAUGUUCAAUUUGGGGGGUGGGGUACGAUUGCUUCUUCUAUGUACCCCUGGAAAGGUUGACACUCGAGAAGAUUUUUUUUUCUUGAACUCGACAGUGGUCACCAGAGCAGGACCUGGGGCAAAAGUCAAGGCUGUCACCCAGGAGAGGAGGCGGUGAAAGCCACAUAACUGCCCUCUCUCAUGUUAAAGUAAGUGAAAUCAAACGCAUUCCUAUCUAAAGUAGGGGGGCAAAAGGGUUGCCCUAACAGCCGUAGGCAGUUUGACAAAACAUCCCUUGUUGGAUUGGUUGGGGGCAAAAAAGAGGCCCCUUUGGGGGGGCUGUUCUGAGGGGCAACACCCUAAAAUUCUUCAAACCUUCUCCCAACUAGGGUCUGGCCCUGCCCACUUAGGGCAUGUGACUCUUGACUGGGUUUAUGGAAAACCUUUUGUUUCUACGCAAUCUUUGUGUUUGGAAAGGAGCUCAACUGUCCCCAGGGUGAAUUAAAAGUGGUCACCAGAGCAGGACCUGGGGCAAAAGUCAAGGCUGUCACCCAGGAGAGGAGGCGGUGAAAGCCACAUAACUGCCCUCUCUCAUGUUAAACCCAAGUCUCCACAUCUUGAAGUAAUCAGCAGCUGAGAAGAGUGCGUCCCCUUGGCAUCUCAGGUUAAAGGAGGUCCAGGAAAAUGUGGUGGAGCCAUUACAAGAAACCUGAGAGGCAUUCAUCAGGGACUCCAAUUGCCAUCGCAUUAGGAUUGAUUGGAGAGCAGCAAUACCGUAAUGACCCGGAAAGAAGGGCAACCUAGUGCCUUUCCUUUCGCAGCUUCUUCUGGUGCCCCCCCCCCUUUCUCGUUCUUUUUUUUUCCCCUCAAAGGAGCGUUUUAUGUUACCCACAUGGCUCUUUUCUUGUGGAAAUUUGCUUGGAGAGAAGAAAAGAUUGGUAUAAAGCACUAUUAUUAUCA